GCCUGGCUGCUGAGUCAGUAGAGCAUGAAACUCUUGAUCUCAGGGUUGUGAGUUCAAGCCUCAUGUUGGGUG
rnacentral:tRNA from 1 species